GAGGGUAUAGCUCAGUGGCAGAGCCCAUGCUUAGCAUGCACAAGGUCCUGGGUUCAAUCCCCAGUACCUCCA
rfam:Camelus ferus unplaced genomic scaffold scaffold765, whole genome shotgun sequence.